rnacentral:misc_RNA from 1 species
AAUAGAGAGGCUGACCAUAACUGCCCCACGGAGCUCCCAUUCAUUCCAAAGGUUCCGUAUGCUUUCAGGGAUAAUUUCAACCAAUCCCCUGUGGUUAAUGAAGAUCAAACUGCUAACAACAGUAGAUAGCAUGGAUUCUCUACUCUUUACUUUUGCAGCAACCUGAUAAUGGGUUUGAGAACCCUCAAUUCUUCCCACUUUUGGUAAUUUCAGAACCUCCAAAAAGAAUUUCUUUUGCUUGGCACCAAGCUCCUAAGCUUUGCUGCAAUUUUACGCGAGGGACAUUUCUUCCUCCAUGAUUUUAACUGAAAUUGCUGAUUGGCCGGGUGUAUGUAUAGGGAAGAGUUACUCUUCCUCCUCG